GAUGAACGCUAGCUACAGGCUUAACACAUGCAAGUCGCGGGGCAGCAUGGGGGUUGCUUGCAAUCCCCGAUGGCGACCGGCGCACGGGUGAGUAACGCGUAUCCAACCUGCCCUUCACCACGGGAUAACCCGGCGAAAGUCGGACUAAUACCGUAUGUUGUCCAUUGACGGCAUCCGAUUUGGACGAAAGGUUUGGCGGUGAAGGAUGGGGAUGCGUCCGAUUAGCUGGACGGCGGGGUGACGGCCCACCGUGGCGACGAUCGGUAGGGGUUCUGAGAGGAAGGUCCCCCAGACUGGAACUGAGACACGGUCCAGACUCGUACGGAAGGCAGCAGUGAGGAAUACUGGGCGAGGGGCGUAAGCCUGAACCAGCCAAGUAGCGUGCAGGAGGACGGCCCUAUGGGUUGUAAACUGCUUUUAUGCGAGGAUAAAGUGGCCCACGUGUGGGUUUUUGCAGGUACCGCAUGAAUAAGGACCGGCUAAUUCCGUG
rnacentral:rRNA from 1 species